AUACCCUAUUAUUUUUAAUGUAAAAUUUGUAAAUGCUUGAGUAUUAAAAGCUAUAGUCUUUAAACUCAAAGAAUUUGGCGGUAUUAUAAUCUUUUUAGAGGAAUUUGUCAUGUAAUCGAUAAUCCACGUUGAACCUUACUUAUUUAAUUUUCUUGUAUAUCGCUGUUUGAUGAAUAUACUUUAAGGUAAAAAUAUUCUUGAAAAUGAGUUAAUUAGAAUUUCAAGUCAAGGUGCAGUAAUAAAUAAGUAAUUGAUGGAUUACAAUAAAUUUUAUUUAUAAAAUGGAUUACUAUUUAGGAGGUAGUAUGAAAGUGGAUUUAAUUGUAAUUUUAUGAAGAUUAUUAAAAUGAAUUUUUGGCUCUUUAAUAUGCACACAUCGC
rnacentral:rRNA from 2 species